AUCUAGCUGACCAUUCCCAAAUAGAAUGAAACGCACGUCCUUGAU
rnacentral:hammerhead_ribozyme from 1 species